rnacentral:rRNA from 1 species
AUUGAACGCUGGCGGCAGGCCUAACACAUGCAAGUCGAGCGGAUGAAGGGAGCUUGCUCCUGGAUUCAGCGGCGGACGGGUGAGUAAUGCCUAGGAAUCUGCCUGGUAGUGGGGGAUAACGUCCGGAAACGGGCGCUAAUACCGCAUACGUCCUGAGGGAGAAAGUGGGGGAUCUUCGGACCUCACGCUAUCAGAUGAGCCUAGGUCGGAUUAGCUAGUUGGUGGGGUAAAGGCCUACCAAGGCGACGAUCCGUAACUGGUCUGAGAGGAUGAUCAGUCACACUGGAACUGAGACACGGUCCAGACUCCUACGGGAGGCAGCAGUGGGGAAUAUUGGGCAAUGGGCGAAAGCCUGAUCCAGCCAUGCCGCGUGUGUGAAGAAGGUCUUCGGAUCGUAAAGCACUUUAAGUUGGGAGGAAGAGCAGUAAGUUAAUACCUUGCUGUCUUGACGUUACCAACAGAAUAAGCACCGGCUAACUUCGUG